rnacentral:rRNA from 1 species
CCUACGGGCGGCAGCAGUAAGGAAUAUUGGUCAAUGGACGAAAGUCUGAACCAGCCAUCCCGCGUGCAGGAUGAAAGCCCUAUGGGUUGUAAACUGCUUUUAGCAGAGAAGAAAAGCUUUCAUUAAUGAGAGUCUGACGGUAUCUGCAGAAUAAGCACCGGCUAACUCCGUGCCAGCAGCCGCGGUAAUACGGAGGGUGCCGGAGUUAUUGGGAAUAAAGGGGGUGAAAGGGUGGUAAUGCGGAGGUUGUGAAAUCUUGUCGCUUAACGAUAGAAUUGCCAAUGAUACUGGUACUCUUGAAUUGGGUUGAGGUUAGCGGAAUGUGACAUGUAGCGGUGAAAUGCAUAGAUAUGUCAUGGAACACCAAUUGCGAAGGCAGCUAACUGGGCCUUGAUUGACGCUGAGGCACGAAAGCGUGGGUAGCGAACAGGAUUAGAUACCCCAGUAGUC